rnacentral:lncRNA from 1 species
AUGAGGUCACAGAAGCAGCAGGACCUCCUGGAGACGGCGUCCACAGUUGCUCCGGGAGUGACCAGUAAGGGCAGAGCCCAGUGUUCUGCACACCCCUGCCCCACCCAGCCAUGUACGAGAACACUGACCAGGUCACAGAGAAAAUGCCAUCAGCACGUGGCACUAGGGGCUCUGUCUCUCUGUGCGGAACAAAACCAUCGGAGCAGGACAAGAGAGCCAGCAUGGAUCUCCCAGUCCAUAUUGCUUCUUCGGACCCAAUUCUGGUGUUUAUCUUUGAACUACAGUGCAAGCAGGCAAAAGAACAAACAUCUCACUGAACACAGCAGCUUCUCAGGCUGGGGGAGGAAGGCUGCUCCUCAUUUCCCUGUGUGGAUUAGGUACCCACCGAAAGAGAGAACACCAAUUACACUUUUAUGAAGCAUGAAAACAUGGAGUUCUGGAAAUGUGUUUUAUCUUCAAGUAUUUAGUGUUAAAGCACUCAACAAUAUUAUCAAAAUCAUUUUCUUGUCCCUGGAAAUUGUGCUUUUAUUUCCACGCAUCUAGAAG